GCAGAUGUAACAUGAAGGCAGAGAUGCAGGCUUCUGUCCGGUUUGCAGUUACCCAGGGGGCGUCUGCAGGUGUCAGAAUUUUCACAAAAGCAGCCUCUAAAUCUGGCACCCUGCCUGUAGUCUGCAGAGGCUCUGGGAGUGGAGCCCGGAUUGACAGGAAGCAUGAGUCAGCAGGAGCCGCGGACUUCAAGCCGGGCCGUUCUCGCGAGAUCGAGAAGCACUUCCGGAUCUGUUCCGCGCGGGGUUCGCGCGUGUCUCCUCGGACACUCACCUGCCCGCGCUUUGUCACCCCAGUUGCCAGCCUCAGAUCCCGGUGACUGCCAGCCUCCUCUCCCUGCCAAGUGAGCCGCCCUUACAGCUCCUCUGCCUGUAUCACCUGUUAAAAGACCGGCCUGCAAGCACAGAGCCUGUUGGGGACCCUUCAGCACGGCAGUGGGGACAGAGCUGAACUCGCUACCCAAGACUGAAUGAGCCUCCACCUGUCUUGUUGCAGAAGUUCAGAUUUAUGAGGGGAGCGUGGAACAGAACCGAAGCUCCCAGACUUCGGGUUGGCAUUCUGUAAACCUGAAAGGACCGUGCUCAUCCCUUUUAUUCCUAAGCCUCAUGGAGUACGGGGAGAUGAAUUUGGAAGAAUAUAUUUUAGGUUGACAAUGGGGAUUACGAGAGAGAGGAAGUGGCAGCGUGAUGUGGAGGGAGGACCUGCGAGUCAACCAAAAUAGAAGAGAAAAAUUUACCUGGACCUCAGUUGCUUCAUUGGAGAAAUGGAGUCAAAAUCCCUAUCUUAUUUUUGCCCCAGGGUUUGUGUGAAGAUUUCUCAAGAUGCCAUGAAGAGCUGUUUUGAAAAUGUUCAAGGCUCUGCCCAAAUACAUGCUGGUGGGAUUUGUCAUACGUGUAAAUGAUGCUUAUAAAUGAUGUGAUUUUGAGCAAACAGUUUUAUUGUCUGGGCCUAAUGAGGUUUCAUCAGUUUGGCAGGGAUGAUAAUAACGAACCUAAUUAAUAGCUGGAAGCCUUCCAGAUGAACUGCGGAAGUCACUCUGCCUGGAUUAAAUGUGUGGUCCUCAACCAGGACAACAUUCAAAGCCUGAGCUGCCGAGAAGCUGUGAAGUCACUCCCCUCUUCCACGCUCACCGACACGGCCUUUAAGGUAGCACUGUCGGGCCUGCCUGAGGGGCUGUCUCCUCUCACACACUCAUAUUUGAUCACGAGGAAAAGUAAAAAAAAAGUGCCAGCCCACAGGGGACAUGGACCCUGUAUCAGUUUCCCAGAGCUGUUAUAGCAAAUAACCACCAACCAGGUGGUUUAAAACAACACAAAGUUAUUCCCGCACAGUCCUAGAGGCCAGAAGUCUGAAAUGAAGGUGUCAGCAGGGCCCUGUCCCUCUGGAGAUUUCAGUGGAAGAACCCUUCCUUGUCUCUCCCUAGCUUCCUUGGCCUUCCUCGGUUGGUGGCAGUGUUGCUCCAUCUCUGAAGAGCAUUCUCUGUGUGCCUUCACUUGCCUUUUAAAAUUGAUUAAUUUCAUGGGAGGCUGAGGCAGGAGGAUCACCACGAGUUUGAGGCCAGCCUGGGUUACAUAAUGAGUUCAAGAAUAGCCUGAACCGCAUAGCGAGACCACAUGUCUCAAAAAAAUAAACCUAAACCACGGCCCCAACAAAUAAAUUGAUUAAUUAAAAUUUAAACUGAUACA